rnacentral:rRNA from 1 species
UACGUAGGGUGCGAGCGUUGUCCGGAAUUAUUGGGCGUAAAGGGCUCGUAGGCGGUUUGUCGCGUCGGGAGUGAAAACCCAGGGCUUAACCCUGGGCUGGCUUCCGAUACGGGCAGACUAGAGGUAUGCAGGGGAGAACGGAAUUCCUGGUGUAGCGGUGGAAUGCGCAGAUAUCAGGAGGAACACCAGCGGCGAAGGCGGCGCUCUGGGCCGGUACUGACACUGAGGAGCGAAAGCGUGGGUAGCAAACAGG